rnacentral:rRNA from 1 species
GUGUCAGCAGCCGCGGUAAUACGUAGGUGGCAAGCGUUAUCCGGAAUUAUUGGGCGUAAAGCGCGCGCAGGUGGUUCCUUAAGUCUGAUGUGAAAGCCCCCGGCUCAACCGGGGAGGGUCAUUGGAAACUGGGGAACUUGAGUGUAGAAGAGGAAAGUGGAAUUCCACGUGUAGCGGUGAAAUGCGUAGAGAUGUGGAGGAACACCAGUGGCGAAGGCGACUUUCUGGUCUAUAACUGACACUGAGGCGCGAAAGCGUGGGGAGCAAACAGGAUUAGAUACCCUGGUAGUCC